rnacentral:rRNA from 1 species
AUUCCAGCUCCAAUAGCGUAUACUAAAGUUGUUGCAGUUAAAAAGCUCGUAGUUGAAUUUCUGGUCGUGGCGAUCGGUCCGCCCCUCACGGGGUGUGCACCUGGUCUCUACGUCCAUCCUCGGGGAGAGCGCGUCUGGCAUUCAGUUGUCGGGUGCGGGAUCCUCGUCAUUUACUGUGAGCAAAAUAGAGUGUUCAAAGCAGGCUUAGGCCGUUGAAUACAUUAGCAUGGAAUAAUAAGAUAGGACUUUGGUGGUUCUUUUUGAUAUUUUGUUGGUUUGCACGCCAAAGUAAUGAUUAAUAGGAGCAGUUGGGGGUAUUCGUAUUCAAUUGUCAGAGGUGAAAUUCUUGGAUUUAUAGAAGACGAACUACUGCGAAAGCAUUUGCCAGGGAUGUUUUCAUUA